GACUCUAUAGCUCAGUGACAGAGCAUCUCACUCGUAAUGAGAAGGUCCAUAAUUCAAUUCUGUGCCGGGGCUUUCA
rnacentral:tRNA from 1 species